CAUUGUGUAACAGGAGGGGAUAAUGGAAGAUUUUGAGAUCUUCACAACAACAGACAUUUUCUAUAUCUUUAGCAAGAGUACCACAAAUUAUAGAACACAUUAAUCAAUAAACAGUAAUAUAUAGUAAAAUUUUAAUAAAUAUUAAAAGUAAAUAUUUUUUG